rnacentral:pre_miRNA from 1 species
GGGGGGAGUGCCGGAUCCUGGGCUGUGUCCCCGGCGUCCUGUUCUUCUGGGCCUGUGCGGUUGGAUUCGCGCUCCUGGCCCCGCAGCCCCUU